rnacentral:lncRNA from 1 species
AACCAUCUGUGCUUGCAACAAACCAUAUAGCAUCCUUUUGUGUUAUUUCCAUGGGCGAGUAUUUGGUGUGUGCUAAAGUGUGAAGGUCAUCCUGUUGUUUUUCAGUUCCUUUAUCUUCGCCCAUCUGCACUGUAUCUUUUCUAGAUUCCUGAGGAGGGUUGGAUGGUGAUAUUUCAUCUAGUUCCACGAAGCUGGAACUGUCUGUUACCUCUUUGCAAUUGUCGGUAGUUCUCUUUGCUCCUUCAAAAUUAACUCCUUUUUCUUCUGAAAUGGCGUCAGAAGCAUUUCUUGGUUGUUUUUCUUCUAUUUCCUCCAGAACAGUUAUUGGGUCCUGUUGUAUUGAUUCCAAUCUUUCGCCAUAUGGAACCUGAUGUUCUGGGCUUUCUUUUAGAUCUACUUGUACUAGGUUCUCUUUCGAUGAAAUUGUGAUGGAGUCAUCUAGCACUUGCACAUCCUCAGUAUCAGUCUUGUCAUGGAAGCUACUUGGUUCAUGAUCAAUUGUGUAAUCACUAUUCUCCUCUGUUGCUCCAGAUGCCAAGCUGGUCAUAUUUGCAAGUUUCUCAUCUUCUGGCAUUUUUGUGACAGGUGAUUCUUCUUGCUCCUGAUUGAGAUCUUCAGCAAUGUCGAGAGUAAUUUUUCCUUUUGAGAUAGCCUCAGAAGCAUUUCGUGGUUGUUCUUCAAUUU